rnacentral:rRNA from 1 species
CGGCUGCUAAUACCGGAUGUGCCGAAAGGUGAAAGAUUAAUUGCCUAGAGAUGAGCUCGCGCCUGAUUAGCUAGUUGGUGUUGUAAGGGACUACCAAGGCGACGAUCAGUAGCUGGUCUGAGAGGACGAUCAGCCACACUGGGACUGAGACACGGCCCAGACUCCUACGGGAGGCAGCAGUGGCGAAUUUUCCGCAUUGGGCGAAAGCCUGACGGAGCAAUAGCGCGUGAGGGAGGAAGGCUCUUGGGUUGUAAACCUCUUUUGUCAAGGAAGAAUACAAUGACGGUACUUGAGGAAUAAGCAUCGGCUAACUCCGUGCCAGCAGCCGCGGUAAUACGGAGGAUGCAAGCGUUAUCCGGAAUGAUUGGGCGUAAACCGUCCGCAGGUGGCAAUGAAAGUCUGCUGUUCAAGAGUGAG